GAACGCACCUUGCGCCCUUUGGCCAUUCCGAAGGGCAUGCCUGUUUGAGUAUCAUGAACACCUCAACUCUUCAUGGUUUUCCAUGAUGAGCUUGGACUUUGGGGGUCUUGCUGGCCUGUGGGUCGGCUCCUCUCAAAUGAAUCAGCUUGCCGGUUUUUGGUGGGCAUCACAGGUGUGAUAACUAUCUACGCUUGUGGUUUUCCACCAGGGUAACCUUCAGCAGUGGAGGUUCACUGGAGCUUACAAAUGUCUCUCCUCUGUGAGGACAGCCCUUUGAAUGUUUGAUCUCAAAUCAGGUAGGACUACCCGCUGAACUUA
rnacentral:misc_RNA from 1 species